ensembl:miRNA let-7 miscRNA
GCAAGCAGGCGAUUGGUGGACGGUCUACACUGUGGAUCCGGUGAGGUAGUAGGUUGUAUAGUUUGGAAUAUUACCACCGGUGAACUAUGCAAUUUUCUACCUUACCGGAGACAGAACUCUUCGAAGCUGCGUCGUCUUGCUCUCACAACUUUCUUUUCGUUUUCUUCCUCCUCUUACUUUCACCUCUUUGUUUUUCUUUAUUUUGUGCUAUCAAUUCGGAGUCGCAAGAACUGUAUUCGGUGAUCCCUAUUGAUAUUCUUUUGUACUGUAUUCGGAGAUAUUGUUUCACGAACUGUAUUCGGAGAACUGUUGUAUCGGUAAUGUAUCUGGAGAGAAUAAUCUAAUCGUAUGUACUGUUGAGUAAUGUAUCCAUGGAGCCGUUUGACAUUUCUAGUGGUAAGAUGUGCAAUAGUUCCAAUUGCUAGUCUUCACCAUUGUAGAUAGUGGAAAUCAUGUUUAUUUUCAGGGGAACCUCAUCUGCUGGGCAACUACUCCAACAUGCGUGUCGCCUAGGGAAUGCCGUCUGGCACCAAGUGGGCUGUCACCGCAAAUCAUCAGGAUCUCACACUUCUACCUCAACACCUCUACCUCAUCCGCAUCUACCUCGAUUGGACCUAUUUUUUUUAAAUUCUUCAAAUAAAAACUUUUUUAUAAUUUAAACAUUUGAACUUGCUCUUGAUAAUUAGAUAAAUUUUUUAUUUACAACA